GACAGAGGGUGCAAACGUUGUUCGGAAUUACUGGGCGUAAAGCGCAUGUAGGCGGCAACGCAAGUCGGGCGUGAAAUCCCACGGCUCAACCGUGGAAGUGCACUCGAAACUGCGUAGCUAGAGUCCUGGAGAGGAAGGUGGAAUGCUUGGUGUAGAGGUGAAAUUCGUAGAUAUUCGCAAGAACACCAGUGGCGAAGGCGGCUCACUGGUCCGGUACUGACGCUGAGGUGCGAAAGCGUGGGGAGCAAACAGG
rnacentral:rRNA from 1 species